GGGCACCCCUGGUUUAGCCUAUCAAUUCAGCAGAGAUCUUCAUCUUCAGUUGUUGUGCGCUAAUAAAGGCAUGACUAGGAAGUUUACAUACAUGUGGCUUGGAACACUACUGCAAAAGUGUCUGUUUAGGUGACAAAACUGGACAUGCUAGUUCAAAGAGGGGAAUACCACAAAACAACACCUGAAGACUGCAUGCCACUGGCAAUAAUGACUCCACUGUCUGCUUUUGUGGUCAAACUGGAUGACGUUUCUUUCAAGUAUAAAGAAUUGAUUAAUCAUCUGUCACAUUUUUUAAACCGCUGCAAAAGUACCAUUUCUUCGCCAUUGCAUAUU